UAGGGAAUCUUCGGCAAUGGACGAAAGUCUGACCGAGCAACGCCGCGUGAGUGAAGAAGGUUUUCGGAUCGUAAAACUCUGUUGUUAGAGAAGAACAAGUGGGAGAGUAACUGUUCCCACCUUGACGGUAUCUAACCAGAAAGCCACGGCUAACUACGUGCCAGCAGCCGCGGUAAUACGUAGGUGGCAAGCGUUGUCCGGAUUUAUUGGGCGUAAAGCGAGCGCAGGUGGUUCUUUAAGUCUGAUGUGAAAGCCCCCGGCUCAACCGGGGAGGGUCAUUGGAAACUGGGGAACUUGAGUGCAGAAGAGGAGAGUGGAAUUCCAUGUGUAGCGGUGAAAUGCGUAGAUAUAUGGAGGAACACCAGUGGCGAAGGCGACUCUCUGGUCUGUAACUGACACUGAGGCUCGAAAGCGUGGGGAGCAAACA
rnacentral:rRNA from 1 species